rnacentral:lncRNA from 1 species
AGAACUCGAGUCCAGCACAGAUCAUGAGGAAGAUCAUCACACACACACCGCAAUUUACAGCUCAGUGGGAGGGAAUGAUGGGUGGCCGGCACACACGCAGGUCUGGAGACACACACACCUGACCACAGCUCAUGUUUACAGGUACCUGAAGGCCUGCAGUGUGAAGUGUGUGUGUGUGUGUGUGUUCUGUCAGUGUUUCAGAGCUGGAGCAGAUGCUGGAGUCCUGCAGCGCCUUCAUCUACUGCAGCAUCAAGAGCUUUUCCUCCUGUUUCCCUCCUGCAAAGAUGGCCACGCUCAAUCUGUGUGGUUGUCAGAUGGUUUUACUCUUUGACUGCGGUCAGAACACAGACGGAGAACAUCAGAGGUUAAACAUGUAAACACUCUUCUCACACCAUCACAGACUAAACCUGAAGCGCUUCAUGAGUCUGAUGCCUUUUGAUAAAUACCAUACAUGGAAUAAUGUAUAAAAUAAUAAUAAAUAAAGAAUCAAUGUAGAUUAAUACAAUCAGAGAUGAUAAAAAUGAUGAAGAUUAGUUCAGAUACAGUACUGCUUGUUAUGGACUCAUUUCAUUGUGUUUUUCUGCGUGUGUGCGUGCGUGCGUGUGUGCGUGCGUGUGUGCCUGCGUGUGUGUGUGUGUGUGUGUACAGCCACAGUGUUGUGUGUGCAGACGCUGCUCUUAGCUCAGUGUAUCUGCUGACCCUCAGUGGAGUUCAUUCAGUCCUGAUCAACCAGUGGCAGAGCAGCACCGCAGAAAACACACACAACAUGAGCUCCAUGCUGAACCAUCUUCUGGAAGGUGGACUGACGUCAGGACGAGCCGCUCAUGUUUUAAGAACACACAGAUCAGAAAACACAGAAUUCUGCAGUCAGACAGGUGCGUGCAUAUAUAUGUGUGUGUGUGUGUGUGUACGUACGCUGUUUCUGCUGCUUUUACACACAUUAUGAAGCUCAACACAGGCUGAUGAGUGUGUGUUUCUGUGUUUCAGCUGUAAAUGAAGACGCUCAGAGAAUCACCCUCAGCGCUGCUCAUUUCAACAUGGUCCUCUAUGGCCUUCCGCAUGUCGUGGUGACGUGAACGCAAGCUUUAUUUCUCUUCCUGCUAAUAAACUCUUAUUAAUGCCUCAUGAAUAAUAUUUAACAGGGCAUCUUUAUUUGGCUUCUGAUCUUUCACUUGGAAAAGUCUGAUUUUACAAAUAUUGCUGAAGUUCUCAUCAGGUUAGCCGUAACAAUCAUACCUGUCAACAUUGGGGUGUGAAAAUAAGAGAUAUAUACCAUUUCUGUGUGGAGUUUGCAUGUUCUCCCUGCAUUCGUGUUGGUUUCCUCCAAGUGCUCCAGCCUGAUCUCACGAGAAAACGUAUUUUACGUUUUGGCAGUUUAGUGGCUAUUUAGACCGAAUUUGUAUGAGUUCAGUCGUAAGAAAUUGUACGAUUUUAAAUAGUAGGCAUGACACCUAACCCCACCCCUAAACACUUAUAGGGUACUUAUGAUUGCUAGCAGCUGACUCGCAUUAUCCAAUUCACUACGAUCCAAUCAGAUGACUCCUAAACUACUAUAAAUACCCUGGGGUUUAUUCCCCCCUUCCUCCCCUACGCCUCCUUCUUAGACGGGUGACACGGUGGCCCAGUGCCUAGCACUGUCGCCUCACAGCAAGAAUGUCUCUGGUUCCUGGCUUUACCAAAACUAGCAGACAUUUCUGUGCGGAGUUUUGCACUUCUUCCCGUGCUCACGUGGGUUUCCCCCGGGUUCCCCGGUUUCCUCCCACCGCCUAAAAACAUGCAAUUAAGUUAAUUGAACAAUCCAAAUUGUCAAUAUAGACACACUUCUAGUUAGUAAUUAGUUUCAAGAGCAUUCACUUGCUACAGCAGGGGAGUUCUCGAGAUCUACCUGAGCUCAAACUCCCCUCCCUGGGCUCGAGGAUCUCAUGAGCUCAGGGCUCUCUUCCGGGACAGCAUGCCAAACAAGCUUUAUAAUUAAUCAUCAGCUAAGUGUGAACUCUUGAAAUUUUAUUUCUGAAUGUUUUCUAAACAUUCAUUCAUUUUCCUUCAGCUUAGUCCCUUUAUUUAUCAGGGAUCAACACAGUGGGGUGAACCAUCAACUAUUCCAGCAUAGCUUUUAUGCAGCGGAUGCCUUUCCGACUGCAACACAGUACUGGGAAACACCCAUACACAAUCAUUCAAAGACACACUCAUACACUACGGCUCAUGUAGUUCAUCAAUUCCCCUAUAGCGCAUGUGUUUGGACUGUGGGGGAAAUCGGAGCACCCGGGAGGAAACCCACGCCAACACAGGGAGAACAUGCAAACUCCACAUAGAAACACUAACUGACCCAGCCAAGACUCGAACCAGAGACCUUCUUGCUGUAAUGUUUUUCCAGGAUUCACAGUUAAAAGCGGCUCCUGCAGAGAUGUUGUGUAAGAGUGUAAGUGUCUGCACUGUCAGGUUUGAUGAGUGUAAUCAGCAUCUUUAAUAAAGUGUUUUCAGAAACGUCAGUCUUUUGAACAGUAGUGUACCUCGCCUGUCGUGUCUGACAUCAAAUGUGUUUAUUCCUCCGUCUAGAACGAUCACUUCACAUUAAUGGAUGGAUGAUUUGCUUAUUCUACUUUGUAAAUCUGUUUGUUGGCAUCUUAGCUCGUGUUUACCCAAGUUUUCCACAUUUCCCCGUGCUGACUGACGCUUUUCUUCAUGUCUUCUGACAGUAAACGCUUCACUCUGACUCUCAACAUGCCAUUAAUGCGCUGAUCUGGAGUCUCUGGACCGCAUUUGAUAAGUUUCCUCAAUCCUGCGGUAAUAAAGCAGACUCAAACUCUCCUGGUUGAACUGAGAUGUGGUUUAGGCUGCAGUAAAGCUCCAUUCUGAGGUCAGAUCAGCUAUACUGGAUGCUGUUCAGCAGACUUGAUGAAAUGAGCAGUGUUUGUGCUUGUACACUUCAGCCAGUCAGAUGUAGAUCACAUUAAUGGAGAGAUGAGUUAACUGUGCAUGCUGAUUAAACACUGAUGUGAUGCUGGCUUAGUGACUGCUAGAGGAUAACACGCUUCAGUCUCUGUCCCAUUAUUACAGUUUCAAAAUUUUAUUAAUUUUAGUUAUUCACUUAUUCAUCCAUCUAUCCAUCCAUCCACCCAUUAAUUAUUAAUUAAUUUAUUCAUUUAUCUGUCCUGUGAUCAUCUAUCCAUCCACCCACCCACCAAUCUAUUCAUUCAUUCAUCCAUCUAUUCAUUCAUUCAUUCAUUCAUUCAUUCAUUUAUUCAUUCGUCUGUCUUGUAAUCAUUUAUUCAUUCAUUCUUUCAUUCAUCCAUCCUUUCAUCCACCCACCUAUCUUUUCAUUCAUUCAUUCAUCUAUUCAUCCAUUCAAUUGUUUUUCAUUCUAUUUAUCUGUCAGUUUUUCUAUCAUCCACUUAUUCAUCCAUCUAUCCAUCCAUCCAUUCAUCCACCCAUUCAUUCAUUCAUUCAUUCAUUCAUUCAUUCAUUCAUUCAUUCAUUCAUUCAUUCAUCUAUCCGUCCAUUUAAUUGUUGUUCAUUCUAUUCAUUUUAUUUCUCUUCAUCUGUCUGUUUUUCAUCCAUCAAUUCAUUCAUUCAUUCAUUCAUUCAUCCAAUUGUUGUGUAUUCUGUUCUUUUAUCUGUCGGUUUUUUCCGUCAUCCACCUGUACAUCCCGCCAAGCCUGGAUGUAUGUGUCUUUGUCUACAUGUGUUUAUGGGUGUGUGUGCGCGCGUGCAUGUGUGCGUGUGUGUGUGUGUGUGUGUUUCUCUGAGCAGCAUCACAGGUAAAGUUCACAAAUAACUGAUUGAUUAAGUUCUCAGACAGAAAUGUGCUUUAACAGAGUGUUCAGCUUCAGGAAAGGCUCCAGUCCAGUUCAGCUGCUGAACUCAGGUCAGUCCCUGCAGUGUGAUUUGGUUGGAAACAGCAGAAUGUCCAGCAUCUGAAGCGGUGAAACAAUCUGGAUCUGUGCACGAGUUUCAUUCUUCCACACAGAUUGAAAACACAGAGAUGAAGACUGAGAAGAUGAUGAUGAUGAUUUCACAGAAGUGUGGAGGAAAAACAACAACACUGCAGCAGGUGAAGCUCAACAUCAACACAACCAGUGAC